rnacentral:rRNA from 1 species
AGGCUACGAUGGGUAGGGGUUCUUAGUGGAAGGUCCCCCACACUGGCACUGAAAUACGGGCCAGACUCCUACGGGAGGCAGCAGUAGGGAAUAUUGGUCAAUGGGCGCAAGCCUGAACCAGCCAUGCCGCGUGCAGGAUGAAGGCUCUCUGAGUUGUAAACUGCUUUUGUACAGGAGCAAAAAAAUCCCUGCGGGGGUUCUUGAGAGUACUGUAAGAAUAAGCACCGGCUAAUUCCGUGCCAGCAGCCGCGGUAAUACGGAAGGUGCAAGCGUUAUCCGGUUUUAUUGGGUUUAAAGGGUGCGUAGGCGGCUUAUUAAGUCAGUUGUGAAAUCCUAGUGCUUAACGCUAGAACUGCGAUUGAUACUAUUAGGCUUGAGUUAAGAAUAGGUAA